rnacentral:rRNA from 1 species
GAUGAACGCUGGCGGCGUGCCUAACACAUGCAAGUCGAACGAAGCUUGACGGAUGAUUUCUUCGGAAUGAAACCAGAUAUGACUUAGUGGCGGACGGGUGAGUAACACGUGAGCAACCUGCCUUUCAGAGGGGGAUAACGGCUGGAAACGGUCGCUAAUACCGCAUGAAGUGUUCGGAUGGCAUCAUCUGAACAUCAAAGAUUUAUCGCUGAAAGAUGGGCUCGCGUCUGAUUAGAUAGUUGGUGGGGUAACGGCCUACCAAGUCUACGAUCAGUAGCCGGACUGAGAGGUUGAACGGCCACAUUGGGACUGAGAUACGGCCCAGACUCCUACGGGAGGCAGCAGUGGGGAAUAUUGCACAAUGGGGGAAACCCUGAUGCAGCAACGCCGCGUGAAGGAUGACGGUUUUCGGAUUGUAAACUUCUUUUCUUAGUGACGAAGACAGUGACGGUAGCUAAGGAAUAAGCAUCGGCUAACUACGUGC